GGCAACUUGGCCGAGCGGUCUAAGGCGCUAGAAUCAGGUGUUCAUAACACACUAUCUAGUCUUUCGGGGCGUGAGUUCGAAUCUCACAGUUGUCA